UUGCAUUCCGUACCAGUUACGCUACACACACAACUCAACAAAUAAUUUUGACUCAAUAUAUAUAUAUAUUAUUUUAUUCUUUAAGAAAUAAAACCAGGAUGGACUUUUCUACCAAAGUGUCGCAUUUUUUCUUCAUGGCCGUGUUUCUCGCAGUAAGUGAUUGUUCAAAUGGCCAAGAAAUUUGCAACGAUGGCGCAGAAUUUUGGCCACACCCAGAUUGUAAAUUUUACUAUCAUUGCUCCGGUGGGGUCCCUGUGCUGCGAGAAUGUCCCCCCACUUUGUACGGGAACCAAAAUUUAGUCGUGUGCGACCAUCCGCUAAACGUUCCUGAGUGUGUGGGCGGGACUCGACCCCCACCCAGCACCACAACCACGAGACCAACGACGACCACGGAAGCUCCACAUCAUCAAAUUAUCCGCAUAAGGCGACCUUCCACCAAUACGGCGAUAACGGUGGAAGAACGUAAGCUGGACAAUGGAACAAUCCUUCACACUGCGUCAUUCGGUGGAGUGGGGUGCUCAGACACGGCACAGAUUUGGAAAAUGGUUCAUAUUGAAGGGACAAACACCACAAUGUUUCUGUCCGCGUUGAGUGGAGGUGGGAUUGACAUGUUUCAGUAUGCCAUGUUUUCAGAGUAUGGGAUUCGAGUACCAUUCCUUUACAAUAUUGACGACACGUAUUAUAAUCCGUACUGGAUUUUGCACCCCGUUCCAGGACAACCAAGCACUCGUGUUGUGCUCCAAUCGCUUGCAUACACAGAUAUGGACACUGUUAUGGCAUAUGAUCCAAUCUGCAACGAAUCUGAAUCUGUAAUUUGUAAUAAAAAUCUGUAACGUCCUACUGGAUUGGUAAUAUUUGGUUUUUGAGUCGUGAUUAUCACAACCUUCCUGAAAGAGCAGCUGGUUUCUACGACUUGUCUCUACUUCCCCUAAAUUCAAGCGACCCGUCGCAGUGGUUUGAUUUAGAAUGGUGCUAACUCUCCUUCCCCAAUAAAUGAUUUGAACUAAUUAUUUACAAAAGAGAGAUAAUAAAUAAAGGUUGAAUUAUGUCAAAUUA